rnacentral:misc_RNA from 1 species
UUGGUUACAAGAGGGACUUGCU